rnacentral:rRNA from 1 species
GACGAACGCUGGCGGCGUGCUUAACACAUGCAAGUCGAACGGAAAGGCCCUGCUUUUGUGGGGUGCUCGAGUGGCGAACGGGUGAGUAACACGUGAGUAACCUGCCCUUGACUUUGGGAUAACUUCAGGAAACUGGGGCUAAUACCGGAUAGGAGCUCCUGCUGCAUGGUGGGGGUUGGAAAGUUUCGGCGGUUGGGGAUGGACUCGCGGCUUAUCAGCUUGUUGGUGGGGUAGUGGCUUACCAAGGCUUUGACGGGAAGCCGGCCUGAGAGGGUGACCGGCCACAUUGGGACUGAGAUACGGCCCAGACUCCUACGGGAGGCAGCAGUGGGGAAUAUUGCACAAUGGGCGGAA